AGCAGCCGCGGUAAUUCCAGCUCCAAUAGCGUAUAUUAAAGUUGUUGCAGUUAAAAAGCUCGUAGUUGAAUUUCGGGAUCAAUACGUCGGUCGUGCUUCGGUACGUACUGGCGUCAUUGGUUUCUCCCUUCUGACGAACCAUGAUGUCAUUAACUUGGUGUCAUGGGAAAUCAGGACUGUUACUUUGAAAAAAUUAGAGUGUUUAAAGCAGGCUAACGCUUGAAUACAUUAGCAUGGAAUAAUGAAAUAGGACGUUCGAUCCUAUUUUGUUGGUUUCUAGGAUUGACGUAAUGAUUAAUAGGGAUAGUUGGGGGCAUUAGUAUUCAAUUGUCAGAGGUGAAAUUCUUGGAUUUAUUGAAGACUAACUACUGCGAAAGCAUUUGCCAAGGAUGUUUUCAUUAAUCAAGAACGAAAGUUAAGGGGAUCGAAGACGAUCAGAUACCGUCGUAGUCUUAACCCAUAAACUAUGCCGACUAGGGAUCGGAUGAUGUUAAUUUUUUAAAUGACUCAUUUCGGCGCC
rnacentral:rRNA from 1 species